CCUACGGGAGGCAGCAGUGAGGAAUAUUGGUCAAUUGACGAGAGUCUGAACCAGCCAAGUAGCGUGAAGGAUGACUGCCCUAUGGGUUGUCAACUUCUUUUAUAUGGGAAUAAAAUGUUCCACGUGUGGGAGUUUGUAUGUACCAUAUGAAUAAGGAUCGGCUAAAUACUUGCCAGCAGCCGCGGUAAUACGGAGAGUCCGAGCGUUAUCCGGAUUGAUUGGGUUUAAAGGGAGCGUAGGUGGGUGGUUAAGUCAGGUGUGAAAGUUUGCGGCUCAACCAUGAAAUUGCAGUUGAAACUGGCAGUCUUGAGUACAGUAGAGGUGGGCGGAAUUCGUGGUGUAGCGGUGAAAUGCUUAGAUAUCACGAAGAACUCCGAUUGCGAAGGCAGCUCACUGGAGUGCAACUGACACUGAGGCUCGAAAGUGUGGGUAUCAAACAGGAUUAGAUACCCGUGUAGUC
rnacentral:rRNA from 1 species